rnacentral:rRNA from 1 species
GACGAACGCUGGCGGCGUGCCUAACACAUGCAAGUCGAACGGAAAGUUCGGGUCUAGUGGCCCACGGGGGCGUAACGCGGGGGAACCCGCGCGUAGGUUCGGCAUAACUCCCCGAAAGGGGUGCUAAUACCGGAUAAAUUCCUGGGACGAAAGAUUUAUCGGCGGUGGAUGGGGUCGCGGUGUAUUGGCUUGUUGGUGGGGUAGUGGCUUACCAAGGCUUUGACGGGUAGCCGGUCUGCGAGGGCGACCGGCCACCUUGGGACUGAGAUACGGCCCCGACUCCUACGGGAGGCAGCCGUGGGGAAUAUUGCCCAAUGGGCGGAAGCCUGAUGCAGCAACGCCGCGUGCGGGAUGACGGCCUUCGGGUUGUAAACCGCUUUCAGCAGGGGCGAAGCUUGUGGUGACGGUACCUGCAGAAGAAGCACCGGCUAACUACGUG